rnacentral:rRNA from 1 species
AAUUCAAGGGACUGGGACGAAGAACUUCGGUUCUGUAGCAAUCGGAAGUGGUUCCAAGAAAAGCCUCUAAGCUUCAGUCAUACGAGACCGUACCGCAAACCGACACAGGUGGGCGAGAUGAGUAUUCUAAGGCGCUUGAGAGAACUCGGGAGAAGGAACUCGGCAAAUUGGUACCGUAACUUCGGGAAAAGGUACGCCCCGGUAGCUUGGUCACUUUACUGUGAUAGGGCGAAAGGGUUGCAAUAAACUGGUGGCUGCGACUGUUUAAUAAAAACACAGCACUCUGCAAACACGAAAGUGGACGUAUAGGGUGUGACGCCUGCCCGGUGCUGGAAGAUUAAAUGAUGGGGUGCAAGCUCUUGAUUGAAGUCCCAGUAAACGGCGGCCGUAACUAUAACGGUCCUAAGGUAGCGAAAUUCCUUGUCGGGUAAGUUCCGACCUGCACGAAUGGCGUAACGAUGGCCACACUGUCUCCUCCCGAGACUCAGCGAAGUUGAAGUGUUUGUGAUGAUGCAAUCUACCCGCGGCUAGACGGAAAGACCCCAUGAACCUUUACUGUAGCUUUGCAUUGGACUUUGAAUCAAUCUGUGUAGGAUAGGUGGGAGGCUUUGAAGCGGGAACGCCAGUUCUCGUGGAGCCAACCUUGAAAUACCACCCUGGUUCAUUUGAGGUUCUAACCUUGGCCCGUUAUCCGGGUCGGGGACAGUGCAUGGUAGGCAGUUUGACUGGGGCGGUCUCCUCCUAAAGUGUAACGGAGGAGUUCGAAGGUACGCUAGUUACGGUCGGACAUCGUGACGAUAGUGCAAUGGCAUAAGCGUGCUUAACUGCGAGACUGACAAGUCGAGCAGGUACGAAAGUAGGACAUAGUGAUCCGGUGGUUCUGUAUGGAAGGGCCAUCGCUCAACGGAUAAAAGGUACUCUGGGGAUAACAGGCUGAUUCCUCCCAAGAGUUCAUAUCGACGGGGGAGUUUGGCACCUCGAUGUCGGCUCAUCACAUCCUGGGGCUGUAGCCGGUCCCAAGGGUAUGGCUGUUCGCCAUUUAAAGUGGUACGUGAGCUGGGUUUAAAACGUCGUGAGACAGUUUGGUCCCUAUCUGCCGUGGGCGUUGGAAAUUUGAAGGGGGCUGCUCCUAGUACGAGAGGACCGGAGUGGACGAACCUCUGGUGUACCGGUUGUCACGCCAGUGGCAUUGCCGGGUAGCUAAGUUCGGAAGAGAUAACCGCUGAAAGCAUCUAAGCGGGAAACUUGCCUUGAGAUGAGAUUUCCCAGAGCCUUGAGCUCUUUGAAGGGUCGUUCGAGACCAGGACGUUGAUAGGCUGGGUGUGGAAGUGCAGUAAUGCAUUAAGCUAACCAGUACUAAUUGCCCGUACGGCUUGUCCCUAUAACCUU